GCGUGCUCAGUGCGUCCGAGUUGUAAUCUAUAGAGUCGUUUUCCGUGCCGGACUGUGUCCAAGUCCCUUGGAACAGGGUAUCAAAGAGGGUGAUAAUCCCGUACUUGACACAAUGACCGGUGCUCUGUGAUACGUCUUCUACGAGUCGAGUUGUUUGGGAAUGCAGCUCAAAAUGGGUGGUGAGUUCCAUCUAAAGCUAAAUAUUGGCGAGAGACCGAUAGCGAACAAGUACCGUGAGGGAAAGAUGAAAAGCACUUUGGAAAGAGAGUUAAACAGUACGUGAAAUUGUUAAAAGGGAAACGAUUGAAGUCAGUCGUGACUGAGAGGCUCAGCCGGUUCUGCCGGUGUAUUCCCCUCAGUCGGGUCAACAUCAGUUUUGUUCGGUGGAUAAGGGCAGUUGGAAGGUGGCACCCUCGGGUGUGUUAUAGCCAGCUGUCGCAUACAUCGGAUGAGACUGAGGAAUGCAGCUCGCCUUUAUGGCCGGGGUUCGCCCACGUUCGAGCUUAGGAUGUUGACAUAAUGGCUUUAAACGACC
rnacentral:rRNA from 1 species